UACGUAGGGGGCAAGCGUUGUCCGGAUUUAUUGGGCGUAAAGCGCACGCAGGCGGUGCAGUAAGUUUCGCGUGACAGGUGGUGGCUUAACUGCCACAGGCCUUGGAAAACUGCUGGACUUGAGGGCUUGAGAGGGACGCGGAAUUCCAGGUGGAGCGGUGAAAUGCGUAGAGAUCUGGAAGAACACCAAAGGCGAAGGCAGCGUCCUGGCGAGCAACUGACGCUCAUGCACGAAAGCGUGGGGAGCAAACAGG
rnacentral:rRNA from 1 species